AUUGAACGCUGGCGGCAGGCCUAACACAUGCAAGUCGAGCGGAUGAAGGGAGCUUGCUCCUGGCUUCAGCGGCGGACGGGUGUGUAAUGCCUAGGAAUCUGCCUGGUAGUGGGGGAUAACGUCCGGAAACGGGCGCUAAUACCGCAUACGUUCUGAGGGAGAAAGUGGGGGAUCUUCGGACCUCACGCUAUCAGAUGAGCCUAGGUCGGAUUAGCUAGUUGGUGGGGUAAAGGCCUACCAAGGCGACGAUCCGUAACUGGUCUGAGAGGAUGAUCAGUCACACUGGAACUGAGACACGGUCCAGACUCCUACGGGAGGCAGCAGUGGGGAAUAUUGGACAAUGGGCGAAAGCCUGAUCCAGCCAUGCCGCGUGUGUGAAGAAGGUCUUCGGAUUGUAAAGCACUUUAAGUUGGGAGGAAGGGCAGUAAGUUAAUACCUUGCUGUUUUGACGUUACCAACAGAAUAAGCACCGGCUAACUUCGUG
rnacentral:rRNA from 1 species